rnacentral:tRNA from 2 species
AAGUAGGAAGCGAUAGUUUUGCUCCCAGUUUCGACCUGGUCCUAGAUGGUUUUCAUCCCUACUUU